GUCAAUAAUGCAAAAUGAUAGUUAAAGGCAGUUCAUCAUUGAAUUCAGUGAUGUCAUCUCUGUUCAGCUAAAUAGUGUCUGUGCAUUUAUUUGCAAUCAAGUCAAUGAUAUCGCUGUAGAUGAAGUGACCCCAACUAAGCAAGCCAGAGGCGACAGCGGCAAGGAACCGAAACUCCAUCGGUGACAGAAUGGAGAAAAAAACCUUGGGAGAAACCAGGCUCAGUUGGGGUCAGUUCUCCUCUGACCAGACGAAACCAGUAGUUCAAUUCCAGACUGCAGCAAAGUCAGAUUGUGCAGAAGAAUCAUCUGUUCCCGAACAAUGUUAGGUAGGUUAUUCCAGAGUUUAGGCGCCAAAUAGGAAAAGGAUCUGCCGCCCGCAGUUGAUUUUGAUAUUCUAGGUAUUAUCAAAUUGCCUGAGUUUUGAGAACGUAGCGGACGUAGAGGAGUAUAAUGUAAAAGGAGCUCAUUCAAAUACUGAGGUGCUAAACCAUUCAGGGCUUUAUAAGUAAUAAGCAAUAUUUUAAAAUCUAUACGAUGUUUGAUAGGGAGCCAGUGCAGUGUGGACAGGACCGGGCUAAUAUGAUCAUACUUCCUGGUUCUAGUAAGAACUCUUGCUGCUGCAUUUUGGACUAGCUGUAGUUUGUUUACUUAGUGUGCAGAACAACCACCCAAUAAAUCAUUACAAUAAUCUAACCUUGAGGUCAUAAAUGCAUGGAUUAACAUUUCUGCAUUUGACAUUGAGAGCAUAGGCCGUAAUUUAGAUAUAUUUUUGAGAUGGAAAAAUGCAGUUUUACAAAUGCUAGAAACGUGGCUUUCUAAGGAAAGAUUGCGAUCAAGUAGCACACCUAGGUUCCUAACUGAUGACGAAGAAUUGACAGAGCAACCAUCAAGUCUUAGAAUUUGAAAUAUACACCUGGUUCAGGGUUCUCUGUGGCUUACCAAUGACCUUGCUCAAUAUGUUAAUGACCCUAGUUAAUGUUUUAAUAUUUGAUAUUCUGAUGAACGGCACAUUUGCAGCUCAAAUUAAUAUUUGAUUUUAAAACUUUGUUGCAUUACACACUAAACAGAGUUCAGUCUAUAAGCCGAUGCAAGUUCAGUGUCCAGUGUCAUAACGGUCACUUGUCCUGGGAAUUAGGCGCGUUCACGUAUCACACAGAUGCAGACCGUUUCAUGAAUGGCUUCUUUAUUUGUGCCGCACUGCUGUUUUUUCUGAUCUUUUUAAUAUUUUCCAUCUGUCCUCCCGCAGGUUAGAGCUUAUCAUCUUUGUUAGUGUGUAACCAUGUGAUAGUGUUUUUCUCAGUUCCACCUUUAUUCUCCACCUCCUUUUCAGCACCAUCCGUUUGCCCGACAUGAAAACAGUACAAAGUAUUCCAAGGCCAAGCUCGGCCGGGGUAGAUAAAUCCCUGUUUCCCAGGCGCUUCAAACAACAUCCAUUCAUUCCUUUCCAGAGUCCAGAGCUUUUGUCACGAGACUCGAGUGUUCUCCUGCAGUCAUGCCUCUGGUGCUGUGUGUCGUCGCCGUUUUGUUCGGGUGUCCUCUCGGAGAGAUGUUUGUUCUGCAUCCUUCACCUGAGGCAUCUGCUGUCAAAGCCAACAGAUGCAAGGGAGACCUGGAAAUCAGGAAAAUCCUUCUGGAAUCUCUAAACCUCCAGCAGGAGCCUCGUGUGUCCAUGUCGAAGAUGCAUCAUUUACGUGAGCAGUGGAAAGCCAGUUUCAGAAGCAGCCUCACAUCAGCACCAGCAGGUAACGCAACGUUUCCCGAGGACUCCAGAAACUCAAGCUGCUGCAAACAUUCCUGUCAGAUCUUCAUUAAAGAUCUGGGCUGGGAGCAUUGGGUGGUUUAUCCAGAGAGCAUCACCUUCGUCAAGUGCCGAUCCUGCGCUUCUGAGAGCACAGAUGCACCUGCGCAGUGCUGCCUGCCAACCGCUCACGUCAUCGUCCCAUUCGUCUACAUGGACGACUGGAGCGGUGUGGUUCUGUCCUCGGUGAGUCUGAUCCGUGAGUGCGGCUGUGACCCCGGAGAGGAAACACAGAACCCAGAGGUCAUGACCCCGUCCUAGAAAGCCUUCCUGACCCGCAGGUCUGGUGACACAGAGCCACAGAAAUGCAGUAGAGAAGCACAGCUUUUUGGUUUCGUAGGUUUAUAGCUAAGCAAUCUUAUUUAGCAUCUUUUGACUUUUGCUGCUGUUGGGAGUCAGACUCUCAGACUCUUGUGGGCUGUAAGUAAAAAGGACUCAUGUAAAGUUCUCAGAAGAGGCAAAAAUGUUCUCAUCAAAUAACAAAAAUGUUAUUUGACUUUCACAGAAAUGCACAAUGGACCUUCUGUUAUAAAUCAGUUCAAGGCCAAAUCUGUUUUUAACUUCAGGCUUUUAUGGAGCUGCGGCUUCAGCGGUCAGCGAAUGUUCCCUGAGAAAAUGCUGUCGAGCAGCUCUGCCAAAACUAUCCCUGUGUGAAUCUGAGGACCAAACAAAGUAUUACAUCAAAAUCACCUUCCUUUAAAUCAAAUUCUAAUGUCAGUUAUUCCUCUAACGUGGUGUCAGGCGUGAUCGUUAGCAAUAAUGUGAUCUGCGUGUUGAGAAACGCCUGGUCUUGAAGAAUCGAACGCACAUUCCAGCAAAGUUCAUUUUGAUUGUUUGUUUCCAAAAACCAUCUGGCCAUGAAUCAGCAUAAUUUCAAUUUCAAUGUGGAAACAUUUUUCAACCCAGUAUUAUACAUAAUUUAAUGUUUCAUAACUCGACUUCCAUGUUGUAGGCUACAUGCCAUUGUAUUAGAAAAUAUCAAAACCAUUUAAUGUAAUCCAGGAAUGGCAAACUAACACUUUCCCAAGCAUGUUCAGCUAGUAUUUAACAAGAUUUACACUUUAAAUCAAAUGUAUCAGCAGAAUGUUUUAUUAAAGAAAGCUUUCAUGGCAUAAAGAUGUGAUGUCUUCGCUUCACUUCAUAAAAUAUCCGUCCAAUGUUUGUGUGUGUUUAUUUCUGGCAGCUUCUGUGUGUAACAAAACACAUGCUGAAAAGAUUUAUCAGAAUGAACUCAUAUGAACUUCUUCUGUGCUCAUUUAUCAGUGAAUAUGGACACAGGUUACUUGCAGUGCAUUUCCGAAAUGAGUGGCUUAUUUUGGGAGUUUAUUGGCACACACUGUUUGAAAGUGUGUGUGGUGCGUGUGUGUGUGUGUGUGUGUGUGUGGGUGUGGGCGUGUGUGUGUGUGUGUGGCUGUGUGUGGUGCGUGUGUGUGUGUGUGUGUGUGUGUGUGUGGGUGUGGGUGUGUGUGUGUGUGUGGCUGUGUGUGGUGCGUGUGUGUGUGUGUGUGUGUGUGUGUGGUGUGUGGUGUGUGUGUGUGUGUGUGUGUGUGUGUGUGUGUGUGUGUGUGUGUGUGUGUGUGUGUGUGUGUGUGUGUGUGUGUGUGGUGCGUGUGUGUGUGUGUGUGUGUGUGUGUGGUGUGUGGUGUGUGUGUGUGUGUGUGUGGUCUGUAUGUGGUGUGUGUGUGUGUGCGUGUGUGUGUGUGUGUGUGUGUGUGUGUGGUCUGUAUGUGGUGUGUGUGUGUGUGGCUGUGUGUGGUGCGUGUGUCGUGUGUGUGUGUGUGUGUGUGUGUGUGUGUGUGUGUGUGUGUGUGUGUGUGUGGCUGUGUGUGGUGCGUGUGUGUGUGUGUGUGUGUGUGUGUGUGUGUGUGUGGCUGUGUGUGGUGCGUGUGUGUGUGUGUGUGUGUGUGUGUGUGUGUGUGGUCUGUUUGUGGUGUGUGUGUGUGUGGCUGUUGCGCAAUCAGUAAAGAGUGCAGAGGCUCGACAGCUCUCUGUUCCUCCUGGCUUCAGACAGACUCCACAGACCUGCGGCCGUCUGACCUUCAACACUCGAGAGAGAAGACAAGCAAACAGGAACAACUCGUCCCCUCCUGAAACAUCAUGGCCUGUGUGGGAUCCUCCUGGCUGCGCUGGGGACUGCUGCUUUCUCUCAUAUUCUGUGAGUUUGCUCAGGAGAACAGCUGGGAGUGUUUGGACAAGGACGAGAUUGUAACUGAAAUGUCCAGGGACGCUGAGAUGCCGUCUGAGUGUGUGUUGAGCUGUACAGCGCUCUCUUACAGACAGAUCGCAGACAGACAGCAGAAACUCACGGUCCGCUUUAAAGACUCGCAGCCCGGAGAGUUGGGGGACUUCUGCUGGUUUAUUCACAGAAGAUGCAGCACAUGGGAUGAAGUUUUUGUUUUACUAUCAGUCAUUGAAUCUGUUCCGAACACAGAAUCGAUUCAAAUUCAAACCAACUCUCCGACUCACCUGAUCUCCGUUCAGUCCCACGACUCUCCGUCCAUCAUUCCUGACGACUGUGGCCUUCGCUUCGACGUCACGCCGCACCUGACACACCUGACACACCUGACACACCUGCCGCUCUGUGUCCGGAUCACAGGCAUCAUGGGAAACCGCUUACAAUGCCCACCAUUUCUGGUCCUGAUAAGGAAUAAAACAAGUUUAACCAACUCCUGAAUGAAUCAAUAAACAUUAUAAAGCAUAAUGGUAAAGAUAUAGAUUCAGAUAAACUCUUAGAGGCUAGAGGUAUGACAUUUAGGAUGUUGCAUUUCAAUUUCAAUUCGUUUGAAUGAACGUUUCAGUAAUAUGUGAAUUUCCAGUUUAAUAUGCUUUAAAUUUGAAGCAUACAUUUCAUUUUAAUUUGCCUUUGUAGCCUUUCUGUUUUACUAAGCAUUUUCUAAAUAGUGAACUGAUCAAAUCAUUAGCAUGUAGUCCUGUUUAUUUAACAGCAUACAUAUGUAUAUAUAUUUUGUUAAUAAAAAUCUGGAUGCUAA